AUACCACUUAUUUUAUUAAAUAAUCCACAGUGCUUCAUAAAAAAUAAAAUCUGUUUGCACUCUCCAUCCAUCUAACACAUAUCUAUAGGGUGCACUUCACAGAAAAGUGCAAAUUCAUAAUUUACAAAUAAAUAUUGGGGGGAAAUGUGCUAUUUGCAACAGGCAGGGAACUGGAUCACAUUAAUAUGGGCAAUAAGUGGCAAGGCAGAGCUGUCUUUUUUUUCCUAUUCAAAAGCUGUUUUGACUAGUUGAAAGCAGCACAUACAUUUUGCCUGCUAAGGCACCAUAUGAAACUGUGGUUUCUGAACUUUUUUUUAUUACUAUCAUCAUCAAAGGCUGAUUCAUACAAACUUUAUUGAAUGAGCUGAAAUGAACUUAAGCUGCUUUAGAGAGAAAGAAUUUCUGCAUGGUGGCCAGGUAUUUUGAAUUGAUGUUGACUGCCAGCUCACCUCAGCCCAGUGUGCUGAAUGUUUUCUGGCACACUGAGCGCCACAAGCUGGGCUUAUUCCACUGAAGUAUUCAGAAAAACAGCUGACCCAAGCCCAAACUCCUGGAAUCUUGAUGCAUAAAAUGUCUUAUUUUUCAUGUAUCUAAUCAACAUAAAAAUGUUUACAUGUUAUCAGCCAUUGCUAUACUGUAUUUACUUGAGUCUAAUGCGCCAUCGAAUCUAAUGCGCACCUCAAUUUUCAGAACCUUGAAACCCAAAAAAGUAUUUUCUGGCGAAUGUAAAUGUGUCAUCGAAUCUAAUGCACUCCUUAAUUUCCACAACGUAAUUUGGCCAAAAAAGGUGAGCAUUAGAUUUGAGUAAAUACAUUAUUUUAUUUCAAAGAGCUCUGCAUAAGUAGCUAAAUCCACUGUACAAUGGAAAUCUGCACAGGAAUUAGCCCCACUGCAAGUUCCUUGCAAUCUCAAAAAGUUAUGUACACAUAAAUGGCUGUUUGAGCUAGAUACAAUCUUGUCAUAUUAUCUUAUAUUUGUUUAUCUUUUCGUUAAUAAUCACAUCACUCAAAAUGGUGUCUUUCUCAGCCUGCGAUCCCAAGAUGCCUUCUCAAGAUGAGAGGGCUGUCCAUCUUUUUCGUCAUGGGUCUAGAAGUAACUUUGCAAACCACUGCCUCUCUCUGUGUUCAUUGAGAUUGUGAGGACAUGCACAAAUUAGUUCCUUCUUAUGGUGAUGAGAAAAUGCCAAGUGGUUGCUAGGCUAACUCAGCAGCGAUUGGAAUAUGCAUCUUUCACUGUCUAGCAAUCACAUCUUCCCUUACCGUUUUUUCCUUUCCUGGAACAGUUAUCAGGCUGUGCUUGUGAGUGUCAGAGGUUUAGGGUGUCUCUAAAUGUACAGUUUCCACCCGGGCCCACAUUCCAAGCCCUAGAAUGUUAAACUGUAGGGACACAGCAACUAUUCGUGUUACCAAUCAAUCAGCACUUCAUUGUGCAGUGAAAAACACUGCCUCACAAUGUGCCAAAUAGAAAACUGUAGCGGUGAUCUACAGAGUAAAAUUCAAGCAUGCAGUACUGAAUCCCAUAUGCAGAGUCUGAGAACUUCAACUUGUAAGGUAAUGAAAAUGUUGGGUUGUAUCCAACACUGUUGUUCCACUUGCACAAAGGGUUUUUGCCUCCUCUUAUCCCCUGCAGCUCCCCAUGCAUCUUCACAGUCUGCUUCAGAAAACUGGAGGAUCCUUUGGAACAAAUUUUGGGGGGCACAGAGGGAGAGGAAAGGGAAAUCCCACUGCACCAGUCAAACGCCUUUUGCACAGCACUGGAAACAACCUUUUGCCUCAAACCUUGAACUUCUGAAUAAAAUUUGGCUGAAGGCAUGCCCUCUCAUGCAUGCUGAGAGAUCACGGACAGACAGAAUACGAACACUUCCAGCAAAAUAAUAGGCAUCUUUACUUGCAAGUAAACCCCACUGUGUUCAGCGGGCUUUGUCCCUAGUAAAUGUACUUACGGGACAGCUGCCUUAAAUUGGGUGCUAGGUGAAAAUAAACCUAAGUGCAUAAAGGGGUACUGGGAGGUACAGUAGAAGCAUUUCCUUGGAAAAUAUAAAAGACAGCAGUUAUUUGGAUCUGUUUCUAGAAAAAAAAAUAAGUUUCUUCGUGCCAUGAGAUUUAUGGCUGCUAUUUCAUUUUUCUUACUUUAAUAUAGCUGCCCAAUUCAAGGGCAAAAAUAGUCAGGAUAUAACUCCCAUUUGUUGCUUGAAAAUACCAAAACAAUUCUGUUACUGACCUUUUCUUAUUGUCUAAAACUUAUGACCUUUUAAAUCCUCCUGGCUGUCACUUACCUUUAUUGAGUGAAGCCACCCCCAACUACCAGAAACCAUUUGCAUUGCUUUCCUACAAGAACACAAUCCCUUCAGGUCAAGUAAAGCAAAACACAGACUGGCCACAGUCCCUUAGUGUGACAAUAAUGCUAGCAAAUCAAAGGACAGGCAGUAUUAUGGCAUCAGCUGCUGCCUUUUAUACAUAUAAAUCAACAUCAAAGCACUAGAAUAUCAAAAUCGCAUCUCACUUUAGCAAUUCCGCUUUGGCUAUGAAGCUCUCCCCUUUCUAGAAAAAAAUGCAUUUACUUGUUUUCACUCUUGCUCUUGUCUCAUCUCCUUAAAUUAAUUUGGAAUGGUAUAGCCAUACAUCAACAUGAAGCUAUAAACAGAUUCCAGAUACGAGUGCCAUUUUCCUGCCAUCAGAAUCCAUCUUUAAAAACUAGCUCCAUGUUCAAAGGUGGGGGCAUUAUUCAGAUGAAGAGUGAAACUGCUCAAAGCCAGUCGCUGAAUCUAUCCUUGGUAUGACCAGAGCCUAAGAGUCUUAGACUAGACAAAAAAAUAAUUUCAUUCUAAGGCCUUAGCAGUCAAAUGUUUACGAUCCACCACGCUGGUUUGGACAUAAUGCUAAACCAUUG